rnacentral:lncRNA from 1 species
UAAUCCAAUUUAAAAUAUUUAUGCAUUUUAUAAAACUGUGUCUUCUACACCAUAAUUAUCUAUGUAAUAUUUAGUACAAACCGAACAUUUUAUUUUAAUGUUUGAAAACUUUUAUUAUUUACCAAAUUUUGAAUUUGAAUUUUGGACCGGUUUUGAUCUAACGAUUGAUUAGCAACAGUAAUGUAGGUAACGUGGCACCAUUAGCGUGGGAUUACUGUAGCUUAAUUACCCAGGCGUUACAAAUCUCCUCCACUACAAGAAAUCUCGUCCCAAGAUUUAGGAGGUAGAAGGAAAUAGUGCGGGGUAUUCAUCACACAGGCGGUCCUCGCGUUCCCAAGUAGCUUCGUCUUUAGAGUGAUUCGACCACUGGACUUUGAGGAACUUGAUCGCCUUCUGAUGUGUGCGGCGUUCAGCUUGGUCAAGAAUGCGGACCGGAUGCUCUUUAUAGGAGAGGUCCUGUUGCAAUUCGAGCACUUCAUGAUCCACUGCUCGGAUUGGAUCCUUGAUGCAACGGCGGAGUUGUGACACAUGGAUCACAUCGUGAACCUGAGAAAGGUUCGGCGGAAGCUCUAGUUGAUAUGCCACUUUUCCACGCCUUUUGAGAAUAGUGAAGGGACCUAUAUAGUGAGGAGCUAGCUUGCCCUUGAUCCCGAAGCGGUGAGCACCCUUCGUUGUUGUAACUCGAAGAUAAGCCUUUUCGCCAAGUUGAUAGACCAUGUCUUUGUGAUGAUGGUCAUACUGACUCUUCUGACGUGACUGAGCAGUCUUGAGAUUCUUGCGAAUAAUGCGAACUUGUUCUUCGGCCUAUUGGAUAAUAUCCGGAACGAAGAGUGGACGUUCCCCAGUUUCUGACCAGUUCAGAGGGGUUCGACACUUUCGUCCAUAUAGCACUUCGAAGGGGGACAUCUUCAGACUAGCUUGAUAGCUAUUAUUAUAAGAGAACUCGGCAUAUGGAAGAGAUUCCUCCCAUUUCUUGCUGAAUGAAAUUACACAAGCUCGAAGCAUGUCUUCGAGAACUUGGUUGACACGUUCAACCUGUCCUUGCGACUGAGGAUGAAACGCCGUAUUGAACGAUAGGUGAGUUCCCAUAGCUUCUUGGAAACUUGCCCAAAAUCUUGAAGUGAAUAAGCUGCCACGGUCUGAACUGAUAACUAGUGGAAUACCGUGAAGUGAAACAAUUCUGGACAUGUAGAGAGUAGCAAGCUGACUAGCAGUGAUUGUCUCUUUGACCGCCGGAAAAUGUGCAACUUUAGAAAUCCAGUCAAUGACGACAAGAAUAGCAUCAUUACCUUUCUGCGAUUCGGGAAAUCCAGUGACGAAGUCCAUUUCAACAUGGUUCCAUUUCCAUUCAGGAAUAGAGAUAGGUUGCAGAGUUCCAGCAGGCCUUUGAUGCUCUGCUUUGAUACGGCGACAAACGUCACACUUAGCAACAUAACGAGCAAUGUCCUGCUUCAUAUUAGACCACCAGAAUCUUUGGCGGAUGUCUUGGUACAUCUUUGUACUACCAGGAUGAAUAGACAAAGGCGUAUCAUGAGCUUCUUUCAUAACCUCUUUAGUCUGAUCCAGGUUUUUCCUCGAACGUGGUACCACUAGACGGCCUUUGAAGUACAAGGCACAAUCAUUGGCGAUAGAGAAGAAGGAGGGCUUUCCUUCCGCUAGAUGAUGUUUAAUCUUAUGGACUUCGGAGUCAUAACCUUGAAUAGUCUUUAUACCAGCUACGAGAUCUGGUACGACAGCCAGGGUAUUUAGAGAACCCUUAGUAACAACAUGAAGAUUCAUCUUCUGAAACUCUGGGGGAGGGGGCGAGUGCUCCAGGAGGAACAAUAUGAAGGUUCAGCUUUCUAAAUUCUUCGACAAGCAAGGGCUAAACUUUGUGAACCUGGAGGUGAUUGCAGUAAGACUUGCGGCUCAAGGCAUCAGCCAUUACAUUAGCCUUGCAGGGGGUAUAGGAUAUACCCACGUCAAAGUCUGCAACAAUCUCCAUCCAUCUCUGCUGACGGAGGUGCAGAUCUGGCUGAGUAAACAGAUACUUCAGACUUUGGUGGUCGGUGAAGAUUUCGCAACGAUUACCGAGAAGGUAAUGUUGCCACUGCUUCAUUGCAUGAAUGACAGCAGCAAGCUCGGGGUCAUGAACUGGGUAGUUUUAUUCGUGAGGGCGCAGUUGACGAGAGGCAUAAGCAAUCACUCUGCGCUCUUGCAUUAGGACACAGCCUAAUCCUUGAUGGAAAGCGUCGCAGUAAAUGACAAAGUCCUUCUUAGUAUCGGGUGGAGCAAGCACUGGGGCAGAAGUCAACUUGUCUUUGAGCGCCUGGAAACUUUCCUGACACUUGUCUGUCCAGUCGAACUUGACACCCUUAUGCAACAAAUUAGUCAGAGGCCUGGCAAUCUUGGAGAAGUUCUCGACGAAUCGACGGCAAUAGCUGGCGAGACCAAGAAAACUUUGGACUUGCUUGACAUUCUUCGGAGGAGUCCAAUCGAGAAUAGCCUGAACUCGUUCAGGGUUGACGGCAAUACCAUCCUUGGAGAUGGCAUGCCCAAGAUAGGUUACUUCGGGGAGCCAGAAUUCACACUUGGAAUACUUAGCAUACAGUUGAUGCUCUCGAAGCUUUUCCAGCACAAGACAAAGAUGUUCAGCAUGUUCUUCCUCAUUCUUGGAAAAUACAAGGAUAUCAUCCAGAUAAACCACGACGAACUUGUUGAGGUAAUCCAUGAAUAUAUAGUUCAUCAGACGAGAGAAGGUGGCGGGAGCAUUUGUUAAGCCGAAUGACAUGACGGUGUACUCGUAUGAUCCAUACCGAGUCACGAAGGCGGUUUUUGGGAUGUCCUCUUCACGAACACGGAUCUGGUGGUAACCCAACCUCAAGUCGAGUUUGGAGAACACUGAUGAGCCAGCCAGUUGAUCAUAAAGAUCAUUGAUCCGAGGAAGAGGAUAUUUAUUCUGAAUGGUAGCUUGGUUUAUAGGACGGUAGUCUUGGACUAAUCGGUUUGUCCCAUCCUUCUUCUUAACAAAGAGAGAAGGUGCUCCCCAAGGAGAGCAACUUGGGCGAAUGAAACCGUUGAGAAGAGAUUUGUCGAUUUCCUCCUUAAGCUCAAUGAGUUCAUGUGGCGGCAUCUUGUAGGGUCGUUUGGCUAUAGGGGUGGUGCCGGGUUUCAAGUCGAUGAUGAAUUCGACAGCUCUAGCAGCGGGAAUCCCUGGAAGUUCUUCUGGGAAGACGUCUUGGAAUUCACGAAUGACGGGAAUGUUUUCAAUGCCCUCGAGUGGUGCAGCAUUCAACGCAUUCAAGGCAUAAAGCCGUGCCUCGGCGUUCUGAACUAGAUGAGCUUGGUAAGCAAUUAUUUCAUCAGUAGGGUGUAGCAGAUGGACGACCUUAGUGGCGCAAACUAUAGAAGCAGUAUGCGCUUUCAACCAAUCCAUUCCCAGAAUGAGGUCGAUACUACAAGACUUCAGUACGAUGGGAGAGGCAAGGAAUUCCAGUCCUUCAAUUUCAACGGGACGUCAUUGCAAAUCAUGGAGGUCCGGCAUUGGCCCGCGGGAGUGUGUACCAGUAGCGAAGUGUUCAGGUCCUCGCUUUUAAUGCCAUGCAUGAAUGCAAAAUCCUCUGACAUGAAUGAAUGUGAUGCACCUGUAUCAAAUAAAACAGAUGCUGGUGCUGAAUUUACGAGGAGUGUACCCAUCACGGUAGCGGGCUGGUCUAGAACUUCGUUGAGAUCAACGUGGUUGGCAUGAACACGUCCAUAAGACUUGGCAUUGUUGUUGGGGGGCUGGUUGCUUCCACAACCAGUUGCUGGGAGGGCCAGUUGAUUCUGGUUCUGAUUGCAAUCCCUAGCACGGUGACCUGGUUGACCACACUUGUAGCACAUAUCAUUAUUAGGAGUGGGAACAGGAGCUUGGGGUGGCGGAGCUGGGAGCCUUGGCUGCCUAGGUGGAGGAGUAGGCAGACGAGGGGCAGCAUAGGACUGCCUUGGGGCAGGUGCAGUUGGCUGGUACAUGCUGUUGGGAAUCCAUAUCUUACGCUUCUGCAAGGACGGGCCCGAAGAUGAGCCCGUGUCACGGUUGCGCCUGUGAGAGCUCUGGUAUUCCUGCAGACCAGUUUCGACAUCGAUGGCCUUGUUCACUAGGGUGGCUAAAUCAGCGAAGUCAUGCGCUAGAAGUGCGAGCUUGAUGUCAGCUUGAAGGCCAUCACGGAACUUCUCCUGUCUGCGUGCAUCAGUUGAAAUGUCUUCUUCAGCAUAGCGGGACAAGUCAAGAAACUCCCGCUGAUUAGCUUCCACAGUUUUGUUGCCUUGGGUGAGGUUGCGAAACUCACACUUCUUCCGGUCCAUGACUCCCUGAGGAAUGAAGCGAGCACGGAAGGCAGCUUGGAAGUCUGUCCAGGUGAUGAUUGUUCCAACUGGCAGAGUACACCUGUGGCUGUCCCACCAUUGAGCAGCGGGUCCUUUCAGGAAGAAGGAAGCAAAGGUGACAUAGCUGGCAGGGGCUACAUCAGCAGACUCCAUCUCAUAGGUGAUGUCACGGAGCCAGUCAUUAGCAUCCAGAGGCUGAGUUGAGCUGCGAUACACAGUUGGGUUCAGGCGCAUGAAAUCCUGCAGAGUUACUGGGGUUGGCUGCUAGUUCAUAUUGGGGCGAGGAAACUGAGCCAUCAUAUUCUCCAUGAACUGGCGAUUCAUCUCAAGCCGUUGGAUCAUACCAGCCUUGUACUCAGGCGGUGGUGGGAAGUUGCCACCACGACCACGACCACCUGGUCUAACCAUCCUACUAAUAUAUAACAGGGGUAGUUCAGCAUUGAGAAAUUUGCAAAGACAAGAAUCAUUCAUGAUGAAACAUGCACAAUGAAAGCAGCACGAUAGAUACUACAUAGUAGUCAGCAUAUCUUACAAAAGAGAUCAUGCAUAGAGUUCGGUACACAGAGUUCAGUACAUAGACUAAUACAUCAUAGGCGGCACGCAAGCUCGCGGCGAAUGCACCUAACACUAACAAGCAAGCCUACAUCAGUCCCAGGAGGAACUGUGGAGGUAGGUGUAGCCUUACAGCUGGUAGUGACGCGAAGGGAAGACCUCCACGCGAGUAGCCUAGGGUCCGCGGAUACUCUGGUGCGGAACCCGAUGCGUAGGUGGCAGGAGAGGACCAAGUGCGGGAGAGUAGCCUCCGAGAGUAGCCUCGAUGUAGCCUGACAGCUGGCUACCUCGGCCGGCGGGAUGGCGGGGUCGGCGGCGAGCUCCGGUGCGGGGUGGUCGGGCGGCGGGGNNNNNNNNNNNNNNNNNNNNNNNNNNNNNNNNNNNNNNNNNNNNNNNNNNNNNNNNNNNNNNNNNNNNNNNNNNNNNNNNNNNNNNNNNNNNNNNNNNNNNNNNNNNNNNNNNNNNNNNNNNNNNNNNNNNNNNNNNNNNNNNNNNNNNNNNNNNNNNNNNNNNNNNNNNNNNNNNNNNNNNNNNNNNNNNNNNNNNNNNNNNNNNNNNNNNNNNNNNNNNNNNNNNNNNNNNNNNNNNNNNNNNNNNNNNNNNGCGCUAGGGUUCGGCGCGACGGGGCGGCUCGGUGGGCUGCGGGGUCGGGCGCCCCGUCUUUAAAGGCCGGCCCCGGAGGAGUCCGGGCCUAACACGGCCCGUAGGUCGGUUUCGUUUUUUUAAUUAUUCCGCACAGAAAAACAGAUGAAAGAAAUACUAAAUGGACUCCAAAAAUCCCGAAAUAAAUUUUCCUCGGCUUCUAAAAUCAAGCCGCACAAGGUGAGCAUUUAUUUGGGGCCUAAAUGCAAUUUUGAAAAACACACAUUUUUCCUAAAUUCAAAUAAAAUAACGAAAAGCUCCAAAAUAAAAUCUUAUUUUAUUUUAUUAUUAAAUCCUCAAUAUUUCUUUAUUUUGGGAAAGUCAUUUUAUUCCCUCUCUCAUAUUUUUAUAAUAGAAAUAAUUGAUGAUAAAAUAAUUAAAAGCAAAUGAUCCUAUUCUCAAAAUUUGAGAAACUCAAAUAUGAAAAUACCGAAAUCCCCAACUCUCUCUGUGUGUCCUUGAGUUGCGUAGAAUUUCUAGGAUCAAAACCAAAAGCAAGUAAAAUAUGAUAUGCCAUGAUGAUCUAGUGUAUAACAUUCCAAAUAAAAUUUGGGAUGUUACAAACCUACCCCCCUUAAGAUGAAUCUCACCCUCGAGAUUCGGGUUGGCUAGAAAAUAGGUGAGGGUGGUCCUUGAGCAAAUCUUCCUCUCACUCCCAGGUGGCUUCAUCCUCCGUGUGGUGGCUCCACUGAACCUUACAAAACUUGAUAACCUUGCUGCGGGUGACUCGGCUGGCAUAUUCUAGGAUCUUAACUGGUUUCUCCUCAUAGGUCAAAUCACUGUCCAACUGAAUUGCUUCCAAUGGCACUGUGUCUCUCAAGGGUAUGUCUCUCCGCGUGGCACUUCUUCAGCUGAGAAACGUGGAACACAUCAUGAACUCCUGACAAUCCUUCGGGCAAUUCCAACUUGUAGGCCACUUCUCCCAUAUGUUCCAAUACUCGGUAUGGUCCUACAAACCGUGGCGCUAACUUUCCCUUAACACCAAAAUGCUUUAUUCCUCGAAGUGGGGAUACUCGAAGAUAAACUCUGUCUCCGACUUCGUAAACUGUCUCCUUGCGUUUAGAAUCUGCAUAGCUCUUCUGCCUGGAUUGAGCUACCUUGAGUCUAUCGCGAAUCAAUUUCACCUUCUGUUCAGACUCCUUAAUCAAAUCAGGUCCAAACAACUGGCGGUCUCCAACUUCAUCCCAUGACAACGGUGUCCUGCACCUCCUUCCGUACAAGGCUUCGAAAGGGGCCAUCUUUAAACUGGAUUGAUAGCUGUUACUCUCUGACUUCUGAUGCUCUGCCUUUACUCUCUGACGUACAUCACAAACUGCUACAUACUCCGCAAUAUCUUUCUUCAUUCCGGUCCACCAGAAAGUAUCCUUCAAAUCCAAAUACAUCUUGGUAUUUCCUGGGUGAAUUGAAUAUGGUGAGUCAUGUGCCUCUUGCAGAAUUAACUUCCUGAUCUCCGGGUCAUUGGGCACAUAAACACGGUCUUCAAACCAUAGGGUGUCGUGCUCAUCCUCACGAAAUCCUUUAGCCUUUCCUUCGCUCAUUUUCUCCUUUAUAGAGACAAUCUCUUUGUCAGUCUUCUGAGCUUCUCUGAUUCUAUCCAUCAAAGUUGACUGAAUCUCCAAUGCUACUACAUAGCCUCUCAGGACUAUUUCCAAACAUAGCUCACGAAGAUCGUUGGCUAACUCCUUUGGUAUUUCUCCCAUCAUUAGUGUAUUGACAUGGCUCUUACGGCUCAAUGCGUCAGCUACUACAUUAGCCUUUCUGGGAUGGUAAUGCAAUCUCAUAUCAUAAUCCUUGAUGAGCUCCAACCAUCUCCUUUGUCUGAGGUUUAACUCCUUCUGCGUGAAAAUGUAUUUCAAACUCUUGUGAUCCGUGUACACCUCACAAUGAUUUCCAAUGAGGAAAUGUCUCCAUGUUCUCAAUGCAUGCACUACGGCUGCUAACUCCAAAUCAUGCGUGGCAUAAUUCAAUUCGUGAGGUUUCAGUUGUCGUGAGGCAUAUGAAACAACUCUCCCUUCCUGCAUAAGUACUGCUCCAAGUCCUCAUCGUGAAGCGUCGCAAUACACCUCAUAAUCCUUGGUCUGGUCUGGCAAAAUCAACACUGGUGAGGUAACCAAGCGUUUCUUCAACUCCUGGAAACUAGCCUCACACUCCUCAGUCCAUAUGAACUUGGUAUCCUUCUUUAAUAACUCCGUCAUAGGUUUUGCAAUCUUGGAUAAAUUCUCAAUAAAUCUCCGGUAGUAUCCUGUGAGUCCAAGGAAACUCCGGAUCUCUCCAACCAUGGUUGGUGCUUCCCACUUGGUCAUGGUAUCAACUUUAGUGGGAUCUACUAAUAUACCUUCUCCGGAUAUAACGUGUCCGAGGAAUCCUACUUCCUUCAACCAAAACUCACAUUUGCUGAACUUGGCAUACAACUGAUGUUCUCUGAGCUUCUCAAGUACCAAACACAAAUGUUCCUUAUGCUCCUCUUCAUUCUUCGAGUAAACCAGGAUAUCAUCAAUGAACACCACGACGAACUUAUCCAAGAACUCCAUAAACACUUUGUUCAUCAUGUUCAUAAAAUAAGCAGGUGCGUUAGUCAGAAGAAAUGACAUAACGGUAUACUCGUACAGCCCAUACCUGGUGGUAAAAGUUGUCUUAGGUAUAUCCUGUUCUCGAAUCUUCAACUGGUGGUAUCCUGAUCACAGAUCGAUCUUGGAAAAUACCUUAGCUCCUUGCAAUCGAUCAAACAGAUCAUUGAUCAUUGGUAGUGGGUACUUGUUCUUGAUGGUUACUUCAUUCAAACCUCGAUAAUCAACAACCAUCCUUAACGAUCCAUCCUUCUUUUCCACUAGAAGUACUGGCAAUCCCCAAGGCGAUGAACUUGGGCGAAUGUAGCCUUUAUCUAGUAACUCCUUAAUCUGCUUCUUAAUCUCCACCAAAUCCUUUGCGGGCAUCCUGUAUGGUCUCUUCGAUAUUGGCCCUGUGCCUGGUAAUAGCUCAAUCAAAAACUCAAAUCUCUAUCCGGUGGCAUACCUGGCAACUCUUCUGGAAAUACUUCAGGGAAAUCCCUUACCACUGGUACUUCCUCCUGCACAACUCCUGUUAAACAAUUUACUUGAGUCCCUUUUGGCACAUGCCGGGAUACAUACUUGAUCCUUCUCCCUUCUGGGGUGGUAAGCAAGAUCGACUUACUAGCGCAAUCGAUGUUUCCUCCAUACAUCGACAGCCAAUCCAUACCCAGAAUUACAUCCAAUCCUUGUGAUCCCAAAAUGAUUAAAUCCGAGGGAAACACAUGCCUACCUAUACUCAAUGGCACUUGAAAACAUCCUUGACUGGCCAUAUGCUCCGCUCCUGGUGAGCUUACUACCAUAGGUGUUCUAAGAACCUUAGUGGGCAGGUUAUACUUAUCCACAAAUCCCCUUGAUAUAUAUGAAUGUAAUGCACCAAUAUCAAAAAGAACGAGUGCAGUAAAUGACUUAACCAAAAACUUACCGAUUACUGCAUCCGGUUGCUCUUCAACCUCCUCCACGUUAACGUAGUUCACCUGUCCCCUGUUGAAAGGGUUCGGCUUCUUCCCAGAGCUUCCAUUGCCAUUCUGGCCUUUAGGACAUUCAUUGGCAUAAUGUCCGGUCUUCUGACACUUAAAGAAAGUGACUUGGCUCAGGUCUUUCUUGGCUGGGGUUGAUGGGUUGGUACGGUUCUGGCCGUUGCUUCCUCCAUUACCAUUACCAUUCUUGGUGCCAUUGUGGUUGUGCGAGGUACCUCCUCCAUGGGUAUGCUGAAAAUGUCCUCCCGAUCUAGGGGUAAAUCAUGGCUUCUGCUGAGCUCCUGAAUUGUACUUUCCUUGUGCAUACUUCCUCUUGUGAUUUUCAAUUUGCGGCUACUUCCCUUCAAUCAUAAGAGCACGAUCUACCAACUCCUGGUAGUUGUUGAAGGUUGCUAUCAUCAACUACAUGCUCAAUUCAUCAUUCAGUCCUUCCAGAAACUUCUCCUGCUUAGCUGCAUCCGUAGCAACGUCAUCUGGGGCAUAACGUGCUAAUUUACUAAAGUCCUCCACAUACUGGCCAAUUGUCCGUCCUCCUUGGUGCAAGUUGCGAAACUCUCGCUUCUUCAUGACCAUAGCUCCUGCUGAAACAUGGCAGUUCGAAAAGCCUGCUGAAACUGGUCCCAAGUGACAGUGUCGACAGGGAAAGUGGCUGUGAAAUUCUCCCACCAUGAUGUUGCGGGUCCUUCAAGCUGAUGUGCAGCAAACUUCACCUUCUCCGUAUCUGUGCAUCCUGCUGUGGUCAACUCUCUAGCUAUCUUGUGGAGCCAAUCAUCUACUACGAUCGACUCGGUGCUACUGGAAAACAAAGGCGAAUUCAGCCUAAGAAAACGGGCUAAGUGAUCAACAGGUGGUGGUGGUGGGUUGUUGUUGUUGUUCCCCUGAUUCUGAUUCUGGACUAGCAACUGCAUCAAUGUGUUCUGCUGCUAGAUCAACUGGGUGAGCUCCGGUGGAAAGGUAAAUCCGGGGUCACGUCUCGGAGGCAUCUGAGGGUUUAGAAAAGAUGAGAUUUAAGAAUAGAGGGGGUCUAAAGAGAAAACACUACCCAUAUGCACAUGAGGCAAAAGCAAACAAUUCACUUCAUUCUAUCAAACAAGGGCAUACAAUCGAUCUAACUAUCGCAAAAGUGCUUUGGACUACUGUAUUUACAUGGUGGACUACUACUACUGAUGAGGUGGUCUACUAGAAAUAUUCUUCGGUUGCAGACUCCAUGAUAUCUACUCCGGCUUCAUCAAUAUAGUCAUCAUCGCUAUCAUCUGGGUCCGAGUCGGUGUCAUCGAUGAUGAUGUAGUCUUCCGGGAGAAUCUCCUUGGGUUCUUCGUCUUCAUCUACUGGUGUAGGGCCUCCCAUAAAUAUCCCGAUCUUCUUGAUUAGAUCGUCAUUCUUCUCCACCAAUACUUCGAUUUCCUCUUCGUAAUCUUCACAUGUAGCCUUGAGUUCUUCCUCCAGUUCUUUGAUUCUUGUCCUAGCCUUCUUCAAGUCUAUCAUGUCGGUGCACAUCUGGUUCUCCUGUCGUCGAAUGUGCUGGUUUAGUUCCUGGAUAAAAGCUGCAAUUGAUCUAUCCUUUUUGGUGCUGAUCAUCUCCCAGUGCUCAUCUCGGCGCCCACAAAUCUGGUAGAUAGUAUCCUUGAGAUCAUUGCGGUAGACUUCUCCAAUGCGUCCCAUGGCGAUGUGAGCUGCCAUGCUCUUUCCUAGACUCCAAGUUGGUGGAUCAAAAGAAAAUUCUAUGGGCUCAGUAACUGGCAUGAACGUCCUUCCUGGAACUUGAACUUGAAUCAUCCAGCGCUCUUCUUCUGGUAAAGUGGUGUUGUAGGUUCUGGUGAAGCUUGGUACUCCUAUGUUUAGGUAUCUAGUGACUUCCUUCAGGUGACGUCCAAAGGGUGUAUCUUCAUCCGGUUGCGUGAACUUGUUCCUUGCAUCCGACAUCCUAAAGAGUAGAAAAGAUGAGAGGUCAGAAAAGAAGAGAGUGAUCUAGGUCUUUAGCUUAGUGGUCGUGUCCUACAGUCAACGUGUGCUCUGAUACCAUCUUUGUAGCGACCAGACCUCAAACAGUCUGAUCUCUGUGCUCAAGUGUCAUCCCUGGAUCAGUAAUGCUGACACCACACAAUACUUGAAGGAUUUAUAACAGAGUAGCAAUCACACACUUAUUACAUCGAGUGUCUCAAUAGAGAGCUAAUUACAAUAAAUAUGGCUCAAGGCCAUCUAAUAACGAUAACAGCGGAAGGCUUGGAAGAAAAGUGAGUCCAUCAAUUCCAACGGCAUCACUGAGUAUAGAACCACGACCUAAAAACUCCUUAAUCGUCAUCUGAAAAGUCUGCAACAUUAAUGUUGCAGCCCGAAAUGGGCCAGCACAUGGAAUAUGCUGGCAAGGUAACACAUAGAGAGUAAUGGAAUGAAACAGCUAUACUAUAUGCAUAUUUGGCUGGUGGAAAGCUCUAUGGUUACAGUUUUGCGUAAAGCUAAUUUUUCCCUACUGCAAAGGAAUAAAUUUUAUUUAACUAUCAUGGUAGUUGUUAAACAUUGAGAAUGGUUGACAGCAUUCUCAAUCCCAACUAAGCAUCAUCAUUAAACAAAACCCAACAAAAUUAAUUUAGAGUAACAUGUUGAGAUUCACAUGAUAAUCCAGGUACUAGAUACUCAAGAUGUCCAUAACCGGGGACACGGCUAACCAUGAUUAGUUUAUACACUCUGCAGAGGUUUGCGCACUUUUCCCCACAAGACUCGAUCGCCUCCGUUUGGUUUCUCGCACUACAUGGUGUUUGAGAAGACGGAUGACCGAGACAUAGUCUUUCAGAAACGCUAGCACCUUACGAUGGAUAGACCGUUACACCUACUUUCCCCUACAUCUGCUAGUCUACCCUGUAAGAGUUCGCACGACUUAAUCAACUAUGCUAGAGCCCAUAAUAGCUUGAAGCUGCACACGAAAGUUUCUAGUAUGAAAAAUCUCAUGAUCCCUUUGGGCCCGGGUGGCAGUCCAUAACGAAAAACAGGCAAUACUGGAAUACCCAGGUACCUCAAUCCACCCAGAUGUGUGUUUAAGUUGCCACCUUAGACAAACCAUUAAUUUAACAAACUCACAUCUGUCAUGGAUAUCACUCACCCAUUCCACGUCUACUAGCAUAGCAUAGCAAUAGUAAGCAAACGCAGAAGUAACUCCCAAAGGUUUGAUAAUACAACAGGUAAUAGGUACUACCUCAACUACUUCCCAAACCCACAAUUAAUUAGAUCCUAAUCAUGCAAUGUUUGAGGAUUGAUCUAAUGCAAUAAAAUUGGGUAGUAGGAGGUAUGAUCAAAGUGUUACUUGCCUUGCUGAUGAUCCGCGGAACCUAGAGAUUCGAAGUAACAGGCGGCGCACUCCGGGUAUUCUAUCGCAGACAAACAAACAAGCAUACAAUAAGUAUUUAUCUAAUGCACAGGUAAAACUCAAAUAAGAGAUCUAACCAGAAAGUUCAACUUAAGAACUCUAGUUUGCAAAAAGAAUCAAAUCAAACGAAGCAACGAAAGUCAAACGGCAAAAGAAAUAGGCUUCGUUUACUAUUCUCGAUCUAGGGAAAGUUUUAUAGUGGCAAAAACUUGUUUAAGUUGGUUAAACGGUUAGAGGGUUUCGAGAUGAAACUCCAGGCGCUUGAAUCGCCAGAUUCCGAUAAACGAGCGAAAAGUUAUACUAAAACGAAAAUCCGAUCAGAAAUCGCGAUCAGAAAUAAUCGCGGAAAAAUCCGAGAAAAAGAAAAACGAUGAACAGGUUAACGAACGAAUGUUCGUUAUCUGGAUCUAAACUACGAACGCGUUCGUUAAAACGAACGAACGGGGAACGCUCGCUAAUUAAACUAAACCGGAAGAAAAAAACCGAUCUAAUAAAAAACGGAUCUAAAAAAAUAAACCGUGGUUAAUAAAAAAACCGGGCGGCGACGGCGGCUACCUCGGCAGGCGGGGCGGCGGGGUUGGCGGCGAGCUCCGGUACNNNNNNNNNNNNNNNNNNNNNNNNNNNNNNNNNNNNNNNNNNNNNNNNNNNNNNNNNNNNNNNNNNNNNNNNNNNNNNNNNNNNNNNNNNNNNNNNNNNNNNNNNNNNNNNNNNNNNNNNNNNNNNNNNNNNNNNNNNNNNNNNNNNNNNNNNNNNNNNNNNNNNNNNNNNNNNNNNNNNNNNNNNNNNNNNNNNNNNNNNNNNNNNNNNNNNNNNNNNNNNNNNNNNNNNNNNNNNNNNNNNNNNNNNNNNNNNNNNNNNNNNNNNNNNNNNNNNNNNNNNNCGCGGCGCGGGCGGCGCUAGGGUUCGGGGCGGCAGGGCGGCUCGGUGGGCUGCGGGGUCGGGCGCCCCGGCUUUAAAGGCCGGCCCCGGAGGAGUCCGGGCCUAACACGGCCCGUAGGUCGGUUUCGUUUUUUUCUAAAUUAUUCCGCGCAGAAAAACAGAUAAAAGAAAUACUAAACGGACUCCAAAAAUCCCGAAAUAAAUUUUACCCGGCUUCUAAAAUCAAGCCGCACAAGGUGAACAUUUAUUUGGGGCCUAAUUGCAAUUUUGAAAAACGCACAUUUUUCCUAAAUUCAAAUAAAAUAAUGAAAAACUCCGAAAUAAAAUCUUAUUUGAUUUUAUUAUUAAAUCCUCAAUAUUUCUUUAUUUUGGGAAAGUCAUUUUAUUCCCUCUCUCAUAUUUUUGUAAUAGAAAUAAUUGAUGAUAAAAUAAUUAAAAUCAAAUUAUCCUCUUCUGAAAAUUUGAGAAACUCAAAUAUGAAAAUACCGAAAUCCCCAACUCUCUCCGUGGGUCCUUGAGUUGCGUAGAAUUUCUAGGAUCAAAACCAAAAGCAAAUAAAAUAUGAUAUGCCAUGAUGAUCUAGUGUAUAACAUUCCAAAUUGAAAAUUUGGGAUGUUACACUGGAGGAUUCAUAGUCCUCAAGUGUAACAAGUCUUCAGGUCACGCGGAUAGAAAGACUUCAGGUAUGCCUAACAUUCUUUGGCUCUAGGUGUUUUGGGCUUUGUCCUUGCAAGGAUCUCUCUCUCAAAGGCUUUGGGGGUGGGUUGCUCUCAAAUGACAAAAGUCGUAAACUAACUCUAAGCAACCACCAAUUUAUGGUGUAGGGGGUGGGCUAUUUAUAGCCUGGAGGCAGCCCGACAUGAUAUGUGAAAUGACCCUGGGUCACUAAGGAAACGACACGUGUCCAAUGGUCAUAUUUCAAACACAUGCGGCAACUUGACUUGGGCUACGAGCAAAGUUGACUCAUCCAUCUCUGGAUAAGAUUUGCUCUCAUUGUCUUUGCUCGAAGACAUAUGAUUUUGGUUGAGCAUCACCUCAGUCACUCUGACUUUGUUCACUUGGACCCCACUUAACAGUGUGGUGGUUCCUAUGACUCAGUAAAGAAGAAAAGGAAACUACGAAACAACUAUGUCUUCACACUCCAUAGUCCUCCAUAGUCUUCAAGUGAAUGUCUUCACAUGUCAUUAUCUUCAUUGUGGAUGUCUUCACGAACCACCAUUGUCAUCAAUGUCUUCACACAUUUUUAUGGGUCACCUCUAGUAGGUAAACCGAAUCAAUAAGGGACUACUACCCAUCUUAUCCUGUGAUUCUCACAAACACAUUAGUCCCUCAACCAAAUUUAUCGUCAAUACUCCAAAACCAACUAGGGGUGGCACUAGAUGCACUUACAAAUGGCGAUGCCCCGGCAGUUGUAUGGAACGAGGUAUUGUACUAGUGUUCUCCUAACGAUAGCCAGGUGGCCCAUUUGGUCAGGGCAUCAUGAGUGAAGCAGCAAAGGAAUGCCUCCAUACAUUGGUUUAGGCACUCUGUUUGUCCAUCGGUUUCUGGGUGACAAGCCGAGCUCAUAUUCAGAAUGGUGUCUGACUAUUUGAAAAGUUCCUUCCAAAAUGCACUUGUAAAGACUGAAUCUCUGUCCGAAAUAAUUUGUGAUGGCAUUCAGUUGAAUUUGCACACUUAAUCAAAGAAAAGUUGAGACACUUGUUGUGCUGUGUAUAAAUGUUGUAGGGGCAGAAAAUGUACAUACUUCGUCAGUUUGUGGACAACCACCAGGAUGACAUCACGAGGCAGCUCUCGGAGCUGGCUGCUCCCACGUCGGGCGCAGGCUCGUCGGAGAGGUGGAUCCCUCCGAUGAGAUCAGCGAGACAGCUUGCCAUGCAAGCGGUUUACGCGCCGCACAGUGCGUCAACGCAAAUGCCAUAAGGCAUGCUGGGCUAGCUGCGCUCGCCAGGAAGGAAAAGGGUUCCCAUCCAAAACAUGUUUCCGGACGACGGUGCACCUUGCCCCAUGGUAGGCACCAAAUGUCGGGGAUAUCUAGCGACAUAUGCCAAGGGGUGGCUUAUCAUGGAGGAGGCAAGAGUACGUCUCCGGGCUCUAGAAGCGGGAGUGAGAGUGACCUCAAAUGCCUACAAGGUUUACCCAGGUUCGGGGCUCUCCGUGGAGAUAACACCCCUAGUCCUGCUCUGCGGGGUCUCCGCAUGAUGACUAUCGUCAAUAGAGUAGCUACAAGUGUGCUCCCUGAGCUGUUUUGCUAGAGGACGAAGAAGGGCAAGGCUAGCCUCUACUUCUCUCUAUGUGUGUGUAUGCUGGCUAGGAUUCAGAACACUUUGCAUGGGUGAGCUUGGCGGGUUUAUAUAGGCCUACCCCCUAGGGGUACAAUGGUAAUAAAGCCGGGGUAGGUGUCGGUGUCAAAACCGGCGGAUCUCGGGAAUGGGGUCCCGAACUGUGCGUCUAAGGUCAAUGAUAACAGGUGACAAGGGACACGGUGUUUACCCAGGUUUGGGCCCUCUUGAUGGAGGUAAUACCCUACGUCCUUCUUGAUUGAUCUUGAUGAGUAUGAAGAUUACAAGAGUUGAUCUACCACGAGAUCGUUGUAGCUAAACCCUAGAAGUCUAGCUUGUAUGAUUAUGAUUGUCUCUACGAACUAAACCCUCCAGUUUAUAUAGACACCAGAGGGCCCUAGGGUUGUACAAAGUCGGUUUACAAAGGAAGGAAUCUACAUAUCCGAAUGCCAAGCUUGCCAUCCACGCAAAGGAGAGUCCCAUCCGGACAUGGGAGGAAGUCUUCUAUCUUGUAUCUUCAUGGCCCAAUAGUCCGGCAAAUGUCACACAGGCCGGACGCCCGAGGACCCCUUAAUCCAGGACUCCCUCAGUGGCCACUGAACCAGGCUUCAAUGACGAUGUGUCCGGCGCGCAGAUUGUCUUUGGCAUUGCAAGGUGGAUUCCUCCUCUGAAUACUUCCAAAACAACCUUUGGACACAGAGAACGUGUCCGGCUCUGCAAAACGAGUACCACACACACACACGCAGAGUGUAUAAUACUUUACGAGUCCAAUCUACUGACAACCUUUGUAGCGUGACGUCACGUCGCUGCCCGGUCAUUAUUUCAAACUGUUUCUUAGCCCCACGCUCCAUGUUUCUGAUGCGGUUUUAUUGGCACGUCUUGUCAAAGCAGAGAUCGUGUCCCCUUAUUGCGGGAUUCUAAUCCAUACGGGCUUGGGUAACCCAACCGCGCCGUCUGCACGACCCUUAGGGAAUAGGCGAUUUUUAAGGUGAGUGGGGAGGCCCUUGAUAUUCGCAGCCUUUAUAAAGGGAUAAGGAUUUCACCUUUUCACCCACGCCCUCUUCCUCUCUGCCCAUCCAUUCUUGAGCUCCAGCGCCCAAGCUUCCAUCCUUUCCACCCCAAAAAGGUACUCCAGCCAUGUCCGGAUCUGGAGCAUAAGGCAAGUGGAUGGUUUCCUCUGUCAAGGAGAAGGACAUCACCAAGCUUCGGAAGGCUGGGUACUUAGCCCAGGAAAUCGCCCACCAGCUUCCAACAAGGGGGCAGAUCAUCCCCACCCCGGAGCCCCAUGAGAGGGUGGUAUUCAUCCCCCACUUUGUCCGUGGAUUGGGAUUCCCUGUCCACCCAUUCGUCCGCGGACUCAUGUUCUACUACGGGCUGGAUUUCCACGAUCUGGCCCCCAACUCCUUCCUCAACAUCUCGGCAUUUAUUGUAGUGUGUGAGGCCUUCCUCCGCAUCCCACCCCACUUCGGAUUGUGGUUAAAGAUCUUCAAUGUGAAGCCGAAGGUGGUGGGCGGUCAACACGCAGAGUGCGGAGGCGCCAUGGUGAGGAAGAUGCCCAACUUCUCAUGGCCCAAAGGUUUCUUCGUGGAAACCAUCAAAGGGUGGCAACAACAAUGGUUCUACGUCACAGAGCCUCGCGAUGCCACCUGGGCCGCGGCUCCCGAAUUCCAGUCUGGCGCCCCGAUGCGGCUCACCUCCUGGCUGGAGAAGGGCCUAGACUGGUGUUUGUCGGAUGAGCUGACAACGCUUUAGACGCACAUCAGGAGCAUGGUAGACAAGAACAUGAAGCUUGUCAAUGUGAUCCAGGUGAUGCUUGUUCGCCGGAUCCUUUCGUGCUAAUGUCGGGCUUGCCAUUUGUGGGAGUUCGAUCCGCCGAGCACCGGACCUUGCAAUAGUUCUUCGGCACAAUGCACGAAGACAUCUGGAAGGUGCUCUUUAAGGCCAAUGAAACGUGGCCAGCGACGACCGAGGACCGUGGGCAUGACCUGGCCCAUCACUCCAGUUCGGUAAGUUUUUCGCAUUUCAAGGUGUAUCCUUUACUUGCAUACUCAAGGAAGACGCCUAAGCUUCCCUAUUUGUUUGUUCAGGGCUGGACAAAGAAGGCGGAGCGGAUCUAGUGUCCGGCUCCGCUGCCCGAAGACCCAACAAUCCCUCUUCUGACGAAGAUGCUGGUUUCGGCGCCCUACCAAGCGCCGGAGAAGAAGGCCAAGGAGACCAGGAGUGGUCUCCGCCGUAAGGGCACUUCGGAUGUGACGUCCGAAGAUGCCGAGACCCACUCCUCCCACACCGGUGACGAGGAGGAGGAGGAGGAGGAAAGCAACUCUCCCCCAGAGGGGGGAGAAAGAAAAGGCCGGCCUCCACGCAUCUGGAGGCAGAGGCGUCCAAGAAGGGAAGGUCUCCCUCGCGGAUAACUCUGCGUGGGACAAUGACAACAACUCCGAGUGGCGCCCCAGGGAUAAGCCCCUAGUCGAAUCAUAAGUACUCAAAGGCGCACACAUAUAUCUAGCUCCUUUACUUCAUGGUUUUAACAUGUUGAAUUAUGCGCUGCAGUCCGGCUCUUUCCGACCUCUAGUGAUCCUCAUCUUCGGGGAAUUCGCUGGAUCCGAAGGUGAUGGACAGCGGGUCCCUUCCGGCGGCCUCUUAUCCCAAGGCCAUGGAUGACACCGAGGUGCUGUCCCGAAGGACCCCCCCUCCCAGGCCAGGGAGAGACACGGGAGGCCGUCAGGGUGACGCUAGAGGGUAAAUCCUCGGCCGCCGGACACAUGGGGGAGCAAAUCCCCAUGGAGACUGGCGAUGGGGGCCAUAUCCAAUCCAGCCCCCAGCCGAAUACAAUUCCGGAGACCUAUACGGCUCCGAAAUUCGGCAGGCAACCUCCUUCGAAAGAAGGAGGUGCACCGAUUCCACCGGUGACCUCUGUCCAUCCAGAGGCACCGGAUACUCUACUGGAAGCGCUGCGAAGUGCUUCCAUUGUUGAGGAACAUCGUACCCUCAUGGGUACGGUGGUUGAGAGGAUUCAUUCUGCAAAGAACGGACUGACCGAAGCCUGCACAAGCCUUCUAACAGGCAUUGAGGUAUGAAACGCAAUUUAUGCAAAAGGAAUGCCAUAGUAUAGAUAGUAGCGUCUGAGACACUGCUCGGUGGUCGAAAAGAAGAGACGGACAAAGGGUCAACUAGUUUUCGCAGGAGACUAACCAUACGUGUCGAUGUGAAUAAGCAGGCGUCUUUGCUGGCUGCGACCUCUCAUGCUGCUGAGGUCUUCGGACUUAAGCGGAGUCUGGGGCGGACCGAGGAAGAGCUCUGCCGUGUGAAAAAACAGUUGGAGGACCAUCAACGUAUGCAAUGACCUUGUGUAGAUUCAGAAAGGAUGAAUAAUUUGUGUUGUUCAUAGUGGCUUGAUAUUUUGUAGGAGCGGUGACCGAGGUGGAGACCUUCAAGAAGGCACUGGCCGAAGCCCAGGAGAGAGCGGCAAAGGAACAAGCCACUCGCGAGAAACACGAGGCCAGGGUUGGUGAGGUCCAGCAGGAGCUCCAUGACGCCAUGAAGAAAUGCGAGUCCUUGGAGUGCAAUAUUGUGGAUCAAGAAUCCGAACUUGCCAACGCCCACCAAAGCGCACACGAUGCCCGGGUUGAAGCCCAGGGCGCCCUCCAGGAAAUCCAGGAGGCCAGAAAAAUCAUGACUGGUGAGGCCUUUAAUAUGCAGAGCAUGUAUGUGAAGAAAAGGUUCCUCUUACUGACCCAGAUUUGGAGUUCUUCAGGGGAGUUUACGGAUCUACCGCGCAGUGUUGCCAAUGCUGCGAAAUUCUUCCGAGCCAAAGAGGGGAGCUCGACGGAGAAGCUAUUCUGGUUGCAAUUUCUUGCGCCAGAGCAUCCAGUGCCCUUUAGCGAUCAGCUGAAACAGCUGAUCGAACUACAUAGGGUGGCCGAACUAGCCAUGACGGAUUUGAUAAUCCGUCUAUGGCCUGCCGAUGCCAUACCCAGCAGCUACUUCGGGCUCGUGAAGCGGCUGGUCGGUGCCUGCGCUCGGCUUGAUGCCAUCAAGCGGUCGGUCUGCAUUGAAGGUGCGCAGAUGGCCUUCGCUCGUGUCAAGGUGCAGUGGGCGAAGAUGGACGCCGUCAAGCUCGCCACCGCGGGAUCGCCCGCGGGCAAGGAGCACCGCAUGCCCGAGUGGUAUUUUGAUGAUGUCCUGAAGGGAUCCCGCAUUGUAGAGGGCCAGUGUUCAAAAGACAUUAUCUUUGAAUGAAGUCAUUCAUGUUAUCCCUUCCUGUAUUAUGAAACAAAGUCUUAUGUAAUAUAAUGUUUGUUGUUUGAAAAUUUUACCUCCUGUGCGGCCAUUUUGUUAAAUCUGAGAGUUGGCGAGUCGUCGACUUCAACCCCCACGUAGGUAGUACGGGGGUGCUCGGGAUGAAUCUAAACACUCUUGAUCCAAGAGUUUGGUCCUUGAAGGAGGUGUUUAGCGCAACGAACCAGGCAAUCGGACUAUGUGGCUUUAUCACCCUCACUUAGCCAUAGGAGUUUGACAAUAGAAAUGUAGGUGCAGCCCCUAGUUAGUAUUUAAUCUGGACUAGGGUGCUAUAGACACCAGAUAAGGAGAGGCUGAUUCGUCGCACAAUGCGGAAAAAAUCGCAAAAGAUUUUUAACCUCCGAAUAGCUGACCAGCUCUCGCUGUAUCAUGACAGUCAGUUUUCGACUUUCUCUACCGAGGUGUUUUCUUGGAUAAACCAGAAACACAAUCAGUAGUUCUCCCUUUACUACCCUAGCCGAUAGGACAAAAUGUAAGGUAGAAAGCAUAGGAGCCGGACAACCCAACUAUUGACCAAAGACAUGAUUCGGAGCCAAUGCAUAUAAUGCUAAAAUUCGGGGUGCCAAACUGUACUGUAAAAAGUGUUCGAACUUUGUUGCCGUAGUUUGGAGCACAAUGAAGGCCUUGGCGAAUUAAAGCAUACCAAAGUGUAUGGGUGCAAUCGAUAAGAAUAGCGAAAUAAAAUGAAGGAGUAAGCUAGUGCCACAUAAACUGGGCCGCAAACUGCUUCCAUUAUAAUUUGAUUAAUACGCCAAAGCGUAUUUGUACAAAUAGUGCGAUAAGCAACCUGGCUAUUUAACAUGCCAAGACCAAGGGGGAGCUGCGUGCGGGUCCCGAAAGCGGGUAGAAUGAUCGUCAAGAAGAACAUCUAGAGAUCCCCCCACACGUCUGUGUUGCUUGCUGCCUUGGUAUAUCCAUCCUUCAAAAGGGCUGAUGAUCAAGCCGUCGAGAGGGGCCUGUAAAGAAGAGACCAAAAAAUGGUAGAAAGGAAAAGGAAAAGUAUGUGUGGGAGCCGUAUGAUGGACCACAAUCAAGUUAUGCCUCUGUCUAUGCCCAUGGUAUUUUGAGUGUGUAGUUAUGUAUGCGUAGUACGUACGCCACCAUUUGGUCGGGACUGAGAUGGAGGCCGAAUUGCUAGUCGAGCUCCUGACGGGCUGGACUGUCCUGCUGCAGAGUAGUCCAGAUUCGUUUGACAGUGUUCGGGAGCUUGGCCACCGAAUUAAGGUUCUGCUUGAUAAGGCCGCUCUGUACUUUUGCUGCUAGGGCUGCGGUUUGCUCCUCGGUAUGGAGGGAGCGCUCCGUGUUUCAAUUGACUAUUAUCACACCGCAUGGUCCGGGCAUCUUAAGUUUGAGAUAAGCAUAGUGUGGCACCGCAUUGAAUUGAGCGAAUGCAGUUCGUCCAAGCAGUGCAUGAUAGCCACUGUGGAAGGGGACGAUGUCGAAGAUCAAUUCUUCGCUUCGGAAGUUGUCCGGGGAUCCGAAGACAACUUCCAAUGUGAUUGAACCCGUGCAGCGGGCCUCUACACCUGGCAUUACUCCUUUAAAGGUAGUUUUUGUGGGCUUGACCCUUGAUGGGUUGAUGCCCAUUUUGCGGGCUGUGUCCUGAUAGAGCAGGUUGAGGCUGCUGCCACCGUCCAUGAGGACUCGUGUGUGGUGGAAUCCAUCAAUAAUUGGAUCAAGGACCACUAUAGCUGAAUCGCCAUGACGGAUACCGGUCGGAUGGUCCCUACGAUCGAAGUUGAUCGGGCAGGACAACCAUGGGUUGAAUUUUGGGGCGAUUGGCUCUAUCGCAUAGACAUCCCUGAGCGCAUGUUUGCGCUCCCUCUUGGGGAUAUGGGUAAUGUAUAUCAUGUUCAUCGUUUUAACCUGGGGGAACUUCUUCUGUCCCCCUGUGUUCGGUGGACAGGGCUCCUUGUCGUCAUUCUCACUUUGCGACCCCUUCUCCUUGUCUUCGGCAUUUAACUUCCAGCCUGUUUGAAGACCCAACAACUCCGGUGGGUAUGAUUGGCUGGUUUAUCAGGGGUGUCGUGGAUCAGACAUGGGCGAUCGAGUAUGCGGUCCAAGCUGGAAGAGCCCGGAUUGUUCCUUUUAUAUGGCUUCUUCCACUGACCGGACUUGGAACCACUGAAUCCGGCGUUGACCGCCGUGUCAUCAGUAUUGUCACCAUUGUUUUGACGCUUAUGCCUGUCGCGUCGGGGCUUGCCGUUGCUAUUCUUGGCUUCGGAAGUGCCAGGUUCGCUUGCAUUAUUAUUGCUACGGGCUAGCUAACUAUCUUCGCCCGCACAAAAGCAGGUCAUAAGUGCCGUGAGGGCUGCCAUGGACUUCGGCUUUUCUUAGCCGAGGUGUCGGGCGAGCCAUUCGUCGUGGAUGCUAUGCUUAAAGGCCGCUAGGGCUUCGGCAUCUGGGCAGUUAAUGAUCUGGUUCUUUUUAGUUAAGAACCCGGUCCAGGAUUUCCUGGCUGACUCUCCGGGCUGUUGAACUAUGUGGCUUAAGUCAUCGGCAUCCAGAGGUCUGACGUAUGUGCCUUGGAAGUUGUAGCGAAGGCGUCUUCCAGGUCCUCCAAGCUGCCAAUAGAGUUUUCAGGUAGGCCGUUCAACCAGUGUCGAGCUGGUCCCUUGAGUUUUAGGGGGAGGUAUUUGAUGGCAUGAAGAACAUCACUGCGGGCCAUAUGAAUAUGGAGAAGAAAGUCCUCAAUCCAUACCGCGGGGUCUGUUGUUCCAUCGUAUGAUUCGAUAUUCACCAGUUUGAACCCUUCUGGAAAUUCAUGUUCCAUUACUUCAUCAGUGAAGUAGAGGGGUGUGUGGUGCCUCUAUAUCGUACCAGGUCGCGACGUAGUUUGGAUGGCGUCCGUCUGCGGCUUUCGGCCCGGACAUGAUUAUUUUUGUCAUGUUCGGCUUGAUAGUCGUCCCGGUGCGUCGGGGUAUGCCCCCGCGAUCCAUAGAUUGGUCUGGCCGGACCUGCUUUAUUCUUCAGGUCCUACCGCGGGUCAUAUGUGUAUCCCCGAGCUAUUGUGUCUCUACCUUUACGGCAAGAUAGUAUGGGCCGGUGUUCGUCUUGAGUUGCCGUUUUGUCCUGGCCACGUGGUGGUCGGUCAGCCGCAUUAUGCGCCACUGGUACGGGCUCAAGUGCCUUGUCGUCGAAUUGAGAUAGCAGUGUACGCUUCGGGUAACUUUUGGUUGGGCACACGAGGCCAUACUCCUCGGCUGCCAGGACAUUAGUCCAUCUGUCGUUGAGUAGAUCUUGAUCAGCUCGAAUCUGUUGUUGUUUCUUUUUCAGGCUCCUUGUAGUGGCUAUUAGUCGUUCCUUAAAGCGCUCUUGCUCGAGAGGUUCCUCGGGCACGAUAAAGUCUUCAUCGCCGAGGCUCACCUCAUCCUCGGAGGGUGGAAGGUAAUUACUCUCCUCCGAGUCUUUGUUUGCGGCCUGUUCAUCAGGGCUAACUUGCCCAUCCUCCCGAUCAUCUUGUUCGACGGGGUUUUCUUGGUCUUCGGCAUCGUCUGGAGUAUUGUUCUCUCUCGUACCGGUAUUGCUUUCUUUGCUGCAGCGUGAUUUAGAGCAGCACCAUCGGCGUUUUGGUUGUAUCACGGGAGGUUUAUCAUCUACUGGAUUUUUCUCAUUAUCGCCGUCACCCUCCUUGGGUGUAUCCACCAUGUACACGUCAUACGAAGAGGUGGCCAUCCAGCGUCCGGUAAACGGCGGGUUUUGGGGCUCCUCUUCUCCGGCAUCGUCGUCCAUACCGUCGAUGUCUUCGGAGCCAUAAUCGAGCAUGUCUGUUAAGUCCUCGACAGUGGCGAUGAAGUGGGUGGUGGGUGGGGCGUAAAAUUCCCCAUUCUCAGCCCCUAGUCGGGCUGGGCGUAGUUCGGAUGUUGCUCCUUCGUAAUGAUGAGGGAUCGCAUCAAGUCCAGAGCCUCGCUUAAGGGCGAGGUUUGGCCAGGGAGAAGAGAGUCUGUGGAGUACGACGGGAAGGGGAUUCCUUGGCCGAGCUCACACGAUGCGGACUCCGAGAGUUUGGAGCCAGUGUCCGGGGAAGAGUCCGACUUUGUGAUGGUUGCCAGUGAUACUGCUUCUUCUGGCUCUCCCGUAUUGGGCUUAGUGGCCGCAGAUAGUCCAGCGGGUUUAGAAAUCCCGUCUUCGGACCUAGCGACGCGCUCUAGCUCUAAGGUCAGAGCGGAGGUUUGUUGGAAAUAUGCCCUAGAGGCAAUAAUAAAAGGAUUAUUAUUAUAUUUCCUUGUUCAUGAUAAUUGUCUUUUAUUCAUGCUAUAAUUGUGUUAUCCGGAAAUCGUAAUACAUGUGUGAAUACAUAGACACCAACAUGUCCCUAGUAAGCCUCUAGUUGACUAGCUCGUUGAUCAACAGAUAGUCAUGGUUUCCUGACUAUGGACAUUGAAUGCCAUUGAUAACAAGAUCACAUCAUUAGGAGAAUGAUGUGAUGGACAAGACCCAAUCCCAAACAUAGCACAAGAUCGUAUAGUUCGUUUGCUAGAGUUUUUCCAAUGUCAAGUAUCUUUUCCUUAGACCAUGAGAUCGUGUAACUCCCGGAUACUGUAGGAGUGCUUUGGGUGUACCAAACGUCACAACGUAACUGGGUGACUAUAAAGGUAUACUACGGGUAUCUCUGAAAGUGUCUAUUGGGUUUACACGGAUCAAGACUGGGAUUUGUCACUCCGUAUGACGGAGAGGUAUCUCUGGGCCCACUCGGUAAUGCAUCAUCAUAAUGAGCUCAAAGUGACCAAGUGUCUGGUCACGUGAUCAUGCAUUACGAUAUGAGUAAAGUGACUUGCCGGUAACGAGAUUGAACGAGGUAUUGGGAUACCGACGAUCGAAUCUCGGGCAAGUAACGUACCGAUUGACAACGGGAAUUGUAUACGGGGUUGCUUCAAUCCUCGACAUCGUGGUUCAUCCGAUGAUAUCAUCGAGGAGCAUGUGGGAGCCAACAUGGGUAUCCAGAUCCCGCUGUUGGUUAUUGACUGGAGAGCCAUCUCAGUCAUGUCUACAUGUCUCCCGAACCCGUAGGGUCUGCACACUUAAGGUUCGGUGACGCUAGGGUUGUAGAGAUAUGAAUAUGCAGUAACCUGGAAGUUGUUCGGAGUCCCGGAUGAGAUCCUGGACGUCACGAGGAGUUCCGGAAUGGUCCGGAGGUGAAGAAUUAUAUAUAGGAAGUGCAGUUACGGCCAUCGGGAGAGUUUCGGGGGUCACCGGUAUUGUACCGGGACCACCGGAAGGGUCCCGGGGGUCCACCGGGUGGGGCCACCCAUCCCGGAGGGCCCCAUGGGCCAAAGUGGGGAGGGGAACCAGCCCAUAGUGGGCUGGUGCGCCCUCUUGGCCCACCCCAUGCGCCUAGGGUUGGGAACCCUAGGGUGGGGGGGGGCACUUGCCUUGGGGGCUACUCCACCCUUGGCCGCCGCCCCCUAGGAGAUCCCGUCUCCUAGGGCCGGCGCCCCCCUAGGGGAGCCUAUAUAAAGGGGGGGAGAGGGAGGGGCAGCCGCACCCUUGAGUCUUGGCGCCUCCCUCUCCCCUGCUACACCUCUCCCUCUCGUAGUAGAACGGCGAAGCCCUGCUGCGGUGACCCCUGCAUCCAUCACCACGCCGUCGUGCUGCUGGAUCUUCAUCAACCUCUCCUCCCCCCUUGCUGGAUCAAGAAGGAGGAGACGUCACGCUGACCGUACGUGUGUUGCACACGGAGGUGCCGUCCGUUCGGCGCUAGGAUCUCCGGUGAUUUGGAUCACGUCGAGUACGACUUCCUCAUCCCCGUUCUUUGAACGCUUCCGCGCGUGAUCUACAAAGGUAUGUAGAUGCAAUCCGAUCACUUGUUGCUAGAUGAACUCAUAGAUGGAUCUUGGUGAAACCGUAGGAAAUUUUUUGUUUUCUGCAACGUUCCCCAACAGUGGUAUCAGAGCUAGGUCUAUGCGUAGUUCUCUUUGCACGAGUAGAACACAAUUUGUUGUGGGCGUAGAUGUUGUCAACUUUCUUGCCGCUACUAGUCUUAUUUUGCUUCAGCAGUAUUGUGGGAUGAAGCGGCCCGGACCAACCUUACACGUAUGCUUACGUGAGACCGGUUCCACCGACUGACAUGCACUAGUUGCAUAAGGUGGCUGGCGGGUGUCUGUCUCUCCCACUUUAGUUGGAGCGGAUUCGAUGAAAAGGGUCCUUAUGAAGGGUAAAUAGAAGUUGACAAAUCACGUUGUGGCUUUCACGUAGGUAAGAAAACGUUCUUGCUAGAACCCUAUUGCAGCCUCGUAAAACUUGCAACAACAAUUGGAGGACGUCUAACUUGUUUUUGCAGCAAGUGUUUUGUGAUGUGAUAUGGCCAAAGUUGUGAUGAAUGAUGAAUGAUAUAUAUGUGAUGUAUGAGAUGUUCAUGCUAUUGUAAUAGGAAUCACGACUUGCACGUCGAUAAGUAUGACAACUGGCAGGAGCCAUAGGAGUUGUCUUUAUUUUUUGUAUGACCUGCGUGUCAUUGAGAAACGCCAAGUAAAUUACUUUACUUUAUUGCUAAAUGUGUUAGCCAUAGUAGUAGAAGUAAUAGUUGGCGAGCAACUUCAUGGAGACACGAUGAUGGAGAUCAUGAUGAUGGAAAUCAUGGUGUCAUGCCGGUGACAAGAUGAUCAUGGAGCCCCAAGAUGGAGAUCAAAGGAGCUAUGUGAUAUUGGCCAUAUCAUGUCACUAUUAUUAUUUGAUUGCAUGUGAUGUUUAUCAUGUUUUUGCAUCUUGUUUACUUAGAACGACGGUAGUAAAUAAGAUGAUCCCUCAUAAUAAUUUCAAGAAAGUGUUCCCCCUAACUGUGCACCAUUGCGACAGUUCGUUGUUUCGAAGCACCACAUGAUGAUCGGCUGUGUUAGAUUCGAACGUUCCCACACAACGGGUGUAAGACAGAUUUACACAUGCAAACACUUAGGUUGACUUGACGAGCCUAGCAUGUACAGACAUGGCCUCGGAACACAGAAGACCGAAAGGUCGAGCAUGAGUCGUAUAGAAGAUACGAUCAACAUGAAGAUGUUCACCGAUGUUGGCUAGUCCGUCUCACGUGAUGAUCGGACACGGCCUAGUUAACUCGGAUCAUGUUAUACUUAGAUGACUGGAGGGAUGUCUAUCUAAGUGGGAGUUCAUUGAAUAAUUUGAUUUAGAUGAACUUAAUUAUCAUGAACUUAGUCCAAAAUCUUUACAACAUGUAUUGUAGAUCAAAUGGCCAACGUUGUCCUCAACUUCAACGCGUUCCUAGAGAAAACCAAGCUGAAAGACGAUGGCAGCAACUAUACGGACUAGGUCCGGAACCUGAGGAUCAUCCUCAUAGCUGCCAAGAAAGAUUAUGUCCUACAAGCACCGCUAGGUGAAGCACCUAUUCUCCCUGCAGAAGAAGACGUUAUGAACGCUUGGCAGACACGUACCGAUGAUUACUCCCUCGUUCAGUGCGGCAUGCUUUACAGCUUAGAACCGGGGCUCCAAAAGCGUUUUGAGAGACACGGAGCAUAUGAGAUGUUCGAGGAGCUGAAAAUGGUUUUUCAAUCUCAUGCCCGGAUCGAGAGAUAUGAAGUCUCCGACAAGUUCUUCAGCUAUAAGAUGGAGGAAAAUAGUUCUGUCAGUGGGCACAUACUCACUAUGUCAGGGUUACAUAACCGCUUGACUCAGCUGGGAGUUAAUCUCCCGGAUGACGCGGUCAUUGACAGAAUCCUUCAGUCGCUUCCACCAAGCUACAAGAGCUUUGUGAUGAACUUCAAUAUGCAGGGGAUGGAAAAGACCAUUCCUGAAGUAUUUGCAAUGCUGAAAUCAGCAGAGGUAGAAGUCAAAAAGGAACAUCAAGUGUUGAUGGUGAAUAAAACCACUAAGUUCAAGAAAGGCAAGGGUAAGAAAAACUUCAAGAAGGACGGCAAGGGAGUUGCCGCGCCCGGCAAGCAAGCUGCCGGGAAGAAGCCAAAGAAUGGACCCAAGCCCGAGACUGAGUGCUUUUAUUGCAAGGAAAGUGGUCACUGGAAGCAGAACUGCCCCAAAUACUUAGCGGACAAGAAGGCCGGCAAAAUGAAAGGUAUAUGUGAUAUACAUGUAAUUGAUGUGUACCUUACCAGAACUCGUAGUAGCUCCUGGGUAUUUGAUACCCGUGCAGUUGCUCACAUUUGUAACUCAAAGCAGAAGCUGCGAAAUAAGCGGAGACUGGCGAAGGACGAGGUGACGAUGCGUGUCAGGAAUGGUUCCAAGGUCGAUGUGAUCGCCGUCGGCACGCUACCUCUACAUUUACCUACGGGAUUAGUUUUGAACCUCAAUAAUUGUUAUUUAGUGCCAAGUUUGAGCAUGAACAUUGUAUCAGGAUCUCGUAAUACGAGAUGGCUACUCAUUUAAAUAUGAGAAUAAUGGUUGUUCUAUUUAUAUGAGAGAUAUGUUUUAUGGUCAUGCUCCGAUGGUGAAUGAUUUAUUCUUAAUGAAUCUCGAGCGUAAUGCUACACAUAUUCAUAGUGUGAGUACCAAAAGAUGUAAGGUUGAUAAUGAUAGUCCCACAUACUUGUGGCACUGCCGCCUUGGUCACAUAGGUGUCAAACGCAUGAAGAAGCUCCAUGCAGAUGGACUUUUAGAGUCUCUUGAUUACGAAUCAUUUGACACAUGCGAACCAUGCCUCAUGGGUAAAAUGACCAAGACUCAGUUCUCAGGAACAAUGGAGCGAGCAACCAACUUAUUGGAAAUCAUACAUACUGAUGUGUGCGGUCCAAUGAGUGUUGAGGCUCGCGGUGGUUAUCAUUAUGUUCUCACCCUCACUGAUGACUUGAGUAGAUAUGGGUAUGUCUACUUAAUGAAACACAAGUCUGAGACCUUUGAAAGGUUCAAGGAAUUUCGGAGUGAGGUUGAGAAUCAACGUGACAGGAAAAUCAAGUUCCUGCGAUCAGAUCGUGGAGGAGAAUACUUGAGUCAUGAAUUUGGCACACACUUAAGAAAAUGUGGAAUAGUUUCACAACUCACGCUGCCUGGAACACCUCAGCAUAAUGGUGUGUCCGAACAUCGUAAUCGCAGUCUAUUAGAUAUGGUGCGAUCUAUGAUGUCUCUUACCGAUUUACCGCUAUCUUUUUGGGGCUAUGCUUUAGAGACUGCCGCAUUCACUUUAAAUAGGGCUCCGUCAAAAUCCGUUGAGACGACACCGUAUGAGUUAUGGUUUGGGAAGAAACCUAAGCUGUCGUUUCUAAAAGUUUGGGGAUGCGAUGCUUAUGUCAAGAAACUUCAACCUGAAAAGCUCGAACCCAAGUCGGAAAAAUGCGUCUUCAUAGGAUACCCUAAAGAAACUAUUGGGUAUACCUUCUACCUCAUAUCCGAAGGCAAGAUCUUUGUUGCCAAGAAUGGAUCCUUUCUAGAGAAGGAGUUUCUCUCGAAAGAAGAAAGUGGGAGGAAAGUAGAACUUGAUGAAGUAUUACCUCUUGAACCAGAAAAUGGCGCAACUCAAGAAAAUGUUCCUGAGGUGCCUGCACCGACUAGAGAGGAAGUUAAUGAUAAUAAUCAUGAAACUUCAGAUCAAGUUGCUACUGAACUUCAUAGGUCCACAAGGACACGUUCCGCACCAGAGUGGUACAGCAACCCUGUCUUGGAAAUCAUGUUGUUAGACAACGGUGAACCUUUGAACUAUGAAGAAGCGAUGGCGGGCCUGGAUUCCGACAAAUGGCUGGAAGCCAUGAAAUUCGAGAUAGGAUCCAUGUAUGAAAACGAAGUAUGAAUUUUGACUGACUUGCCCGUUGAGCGGCGAGCCAUAGAAAAUAAAUGGAUCUUUAAGAAGAAGACAGACGCGGAUGGUAAUGUGACCAUCUAUAAAGCUCGGCUUGUCGCUAAGGGUUAUCGACAAGUUCAAGGGGUUGACUAUGACGAGACUUUCUCACCGGUAGCGAAGCUGAAGUCCGUCCGAAUCAUGUUAGCAAUUGCCACAUUCUAUGAUUAUGAGAUAUGGCAAAUGGACGUCAAAACGGCAUUCCUUAAUGGUUUCCUUAAGGAAGAAUUGUAUAUGAUGCAGCCGGAAGGUUUUGUCGAUCCUAAGAAUGCUGACAAGGUGUGCCAGCUCCAACGCUCGAUUUAUGGGCUGGUGCAAGCAUCUCGGAGUUGGAACAUUCGCUUUGAUGAGAUGAUCAAAGCGUUUGGGUUUAUGCAGACUUAUGGAGAAACCUGCGUUUACAAGAAAGUGAGUGGGAGCUCUGUAGCAUUUCUCAUAUUAUAUGUAGAUGACAUACUUUUGAUGGGAAAUGAUAUAGAGUUUUUGGACAACAUUAAGGCCUACUUGAAUAAGAGUUUUUCAAUGAAGGACCUUGGAGAAGCUGCUUAUAUAUUAGGCAUCAAGAUCUAUAGAGAUAGAUCAAGACGCCUCAUAGGUCUUUCACAAAGCACAUACCUUGAUAAGAUAUUGAAGAAGUUCAAUAUGGAUCAGUCUAAGAAGGGGUUCUUGCCUGUGUUGCAAGGUGUGAAAUUGAGCUCAGCUCAAUGUCCAACCACGGCAGAAGAUAUAGAAGAGAUGAGUGUCAUCCCCUAUGCCUCAGCCAUAGGUUCUAUUAUGUAUGCCAUGCUGUGUACCAGACCUGAUGUAAACCUUGUCGUAAGUUUGGUAGGUAGGUACCAAAGUAAUCCCGGCAAGGAACACUGGACAACGGUCAAGAAUAUCCUGAAGUACCUGAAAAGGACUAAGGAAAUGUUUCUCAUUUAUAGAAGUGAUGAAGAGCUCGUCGUAAAGGGUUACGUCGACGCUAGCUUCAACACAGAUCUGGAUGACUCUAAGUCACAAACCGGAUACAUGUAUAUUUUGAAUGGUGGGGCAGUAAGCUGGUGCAGUUGCAAGCAGAGUGUCGUGGCGGGAUCUACAUGUGAAGCGGAGUACAUGGCAGCCUCGGAGGCAGCGCAUGAAGCAAUUUGGGUGAAGGAGUUCAUCACCGACCUAGGAGUCAUACCCAAUGCGUCGGGGCCGAUCAAACUCGUCUGUGACAACACUGGAGCUAUUGCACUUGCCAAGGAGCCCAGGUUUCACAAGAAGACAAGGCACAUCAAGCGUCACUUCAACUCCAUUCAUGAAAAUGUUCAAGAUGGAGACAUUGAUAUUUGUAAAGUACAUACGAACCUGAAUGUAGCAGAUCCGUUGACUAAACCUCUCCCUAGAGCAAAACAUGAUCAACACCAGAAUUCCAUGGGUGUUCGAUUCAUUACAAUGUAACUAGAUUAUUGACUCUAGUGCAAGUGGGAGACUGUUGGAAAUAUGCCCUAGAGGCAAUAAUAAAAGGAUUAUUAUUAUAUUUCUUUGUUCAUGAUAAUUGUCUUUUAUUCAUGCUAUAAUUGUGUUAUCCGGAAAUCGUAAUACAUGUGUGAAUACAUAGACACCAACAUGUCCCUAGUAAGCCUCUAGUUGACUAGCUCGUUGAUCAAAAGAUAGUCAUGGUUUCCUGACUAUGGACAUUGAAUGUCAUUGAUAACGAGAUCACAUCAUUAGGAGAAUGAUGUGAUGGACAAGACCCAAUCCUAAACAUAGCACAAGAUCGUAUAGUUCGUUUGCUAGAGUUUUUCCAAUGUCAAGUAUCUUUUCCUUAGACCAUGAGAUCGUGUAACUCCCGGAUACCGUAGGAGUGCUUUGGGUGUACCAAACGUCACAACGUAACUGGGUGACUAUAAAGGUAUACUACGGGUAUCUCCGAAAGUGUCUGUUGGGUUGACACGGAUCAAGACUGGGAUUUGUCACUCCGUAUGACGGAGAGGUAUCUCUGGGCCCACUCGGUAAUGCAUCAUCAUAAUGAGCUCAAAGUGACCAAGUGUCUGGUCACGUGAUCAUGCAUUACGGUACGAGUAAAGUGACUUGACGGUAACGAGAUUGAAUGAGGUAUUGGGAUACCGACGAUCGAAUCUCGGGCAAGUAACGUACCGAUUGACAAAGGGAAUUGUAUACGGGGUUACUUCAAUCCUCGACAUCGCGGUUCAUCCGAUGAGAUCAUUGAGGAGCAUGUGGGAGCCAACAUGGGUAUCCAGAUCCCGCUGUUGGUUAUUGACCGGAGAGCCGUCUCGGUCAUGUCUACAUGUCUCCCGAACCCGUAGGGUCUACACACUUAAGGUUCGGUGACCCUAGGGUUGUAGAGAUAUGAAUAUGCAGUAACCCGAAAGUUGUUCAGAGUCCCGGAUGAGAUCUCGGAUGUCACGAGGAGUUCCGGAAUGGUCCGGAGGUGAAGAAUUAUAUAUAGGAAGUGCAGUUACGACCAUCGGGAGAGUUUCGGGGGUCACCAGUAUUGUACCGGGACCACCGGAAGGGUCCCGGGGGUCCACCGGGUGGGGCCACCGAUCCCGGAGGGCCCCAUGGGCCAAAGUGGGGAGGGGAACCAGCCCAUAGUGGGCUGGUGCGCCCCCCUUGGCCCACCCCAUGCGCCUAGGGUUGGGAACCCUAGGGUGGGGGGGGGCACCCCACUUGCCUUGGGGGCUACUCCACCCUUGGCCGCCGCCCCCCUAGGAGAUCCCAUCUCCUAGGGCCGGCGCCCUCCUAGGGGAGCCUAUAUAAAGGGGGGAGAGGGAGGGGCAGCCGCACCCUUGAGUCUUGGCGCCUCCCUCUCCCCUGCUACACCUCUCCCUCUCGCAGUAGAAUGACGAAGCCCUGCUGCGGUGACCCCUGCAUCCAUCAACACGCCGUCGUGCUGCUGGAUCUUCAUCAACCUCUCCUCCCCCCUUGCUGGAUCAAGAAGGAGGAGACGUCACGCUGACCGUACGUGUGUUGAACACGGAGGUGCCGUCCGUUCGGCGCUAGGAUCUCCGGUGAUUUGGAUCACGUCCAGUACGACUUCCUCAUCCCUGUUCUUUGAAUGCUUCCGCGCGUGAUCUACAAAGGUAUGUAGAUGCAAUCCGAUCACUCGUUGCUAGAUGAACUCAUAGAUGGAUCUUGGUGAAACCGUAGGAAUUUUUUUGUUUUCUGCAACGUUCCCCAACAAGGUUGGGGUCAUUAAUCCUUGGAAGAUCAAGUCUCCUGAGAUGUCAGCGACAUAAUCCGAGUUUCCAAAACUAAUCUGGUGACCUGGGGCGUAGCUAUCGAUCUGCUCUAGAUGGCCAAGCAAGUUGGCCCACAGUGCGAAGCCGCCGAACACAAAGAUCUGACCGGGGAGGAAAACCUGCCCCGGGGCAGCACUAUUGUAGAUGAUUGAUGGAGCCAUCGAACCUUCUGGUGACGACACAACGGAACACUCAAUGAAAGCACCAAUGUCGGUGUCAAAACCGGCAGAUCUCGGGUAGGGGGUCCUGAACUGUGCGUGUAAGGUCAAUGGUAACAGGAGACAAGGGACACGGUUUUUACCCAGGUUCGGGCCCUCUUGAAGGUGGUAAUACCCUAUGUCCUGCUUGAUUGAUCUUGAUGAGUAUGAAGAUUACAAGAGUUGAUCUACCACGAGAUCGUUGUAGCUAAACCCUAGAAGUGUAGAGUGUAUGAUUAUGCUUGUCUCUACAGACUAAAACCUCCGGUUUAUAUAGACAUCGGAGUGACCUAGGGUUGUACAAAGUCGGUUUAAAAAGGAAGGAAUCUGCAUAUCCGAACGCCAAGCUUGCCAUCCAUGCAAAGGAGAGUCCCAUCCGGACAUGGGAGGAAGUCUUCUAUCUUGUAUCAUCAUGGCCCAAUAGUCCAGCCCAUGUCACACAAGCCGGACGCCCGAGGACCCCUUAAUCUAGGACUACCUCAGAAGGACCCGGUCGUCACUGUCUCUGGGCGCCGGCUUCUCCGCCAGCUGCUGGGGACCGCCGCUUGGUGGGUCCCGCCAGCUGCCGUGAACUCGGCCGACAGGUAGGGCCCGUCGCCUGUGGGUCACAUUGAUUUCUUUAUACUAUGGCCUCACCCUUGAUGGCGAGGCUUUGUCGGGGGGUGCAUGGCUACAGUCCCGCCGCCUGGCGGGCGCUCACUGUAGCUACACCCCAUCUCAUUAGGUUAAUGGCACGCAGACUCUGAGGGGAGGGAGGGCCGCCUGUUAGGAGUCGGCCUGCCCUCGACGCUGUCGGACAGGUAGGGCCCGCCGCCUGCGGGCCGUACCGACCGCCCGUCGUGGGAGCAUGGCUACCUGUGUCGUAGGUGAUGUCAUGGGUUGCGUGGCAACAGUGCCCCGUCGGGUGAGGGGUGUCCUCUUGGUACGCCCGCACUAUGGCCACGCUCCGCCCUAGAUUCGGGGGUGGCAGGUUGUACUGUAGCCGCGCCCCAUCUCAUCGCAGUGAAUGGGUGCAAACUUUGAGGAGGCAUAGGGCCGCCCGCUGAUACAUCUCCAACGUAUCUAUAAUUUUUGAUUGUUCCAUGCUAUAAUAUAUUCUGUCUUGGAUGGUUAAUGGGCUUAUUUAUACACUUUCAUAUUAUUUUUGGGACUAACCUAUUAACCAGAGGCCCAACCCAAAUUGCUUUUUUUUGCCUAUUUCAGUGUUUCACAGAAAAAGAAUAUCAAUCGGAGUCCAAAAGGAAUGAAACCUUUAGGAGCGUGAUUUUUGGAACAAACGUGAUCCAGAGGACAUGGAGUGGCGUCAAGAAAUCAACAAGGAGGCCACGAGGCAGGGGGCAUGCCUACCCACCUAGGCGCGCCCUCCACCCUCGUGGGCCCCUCGUGGCUCCAUGCACCGAACUACUUCUUCCUCCUAUAUAUACCUAUGUACCACCGAGCCAUCGAGGAGCACCACAAAAACCUAAUUCCACCGCCGCAACCUUCUAUACCCAUGAGAUCCCAUCUUGGGGCCUUUCCCGGCGCUCCGCCGGAGGGGGCUUUGAUCCUGGAGGGAUUCUAUAUCAACACCAUAGCCUCUCCGAAGAUGUGUGAGUAGUUUACCUUAGACCUUCGGGUCCAUAGUUAUUAGCUAGAUGGCUUCUUCUCUCUCUUUGGAUCCCAAUACAAAGUUCUCCUUGAUUCUCUUGGAGAUCUAUUUGAUGUAAUCUUCUUUUGCGGUGUGUUUGUCGAGAUCCAAUGAAUUGUGGGUUUAUGAUCAAGAUUAUCUAUGUACAAUAUUUGAAUCUUCUCUGAAUUCUUUUAUGUAUGAUUGGUUAUCUUUGCAAGUCUCUUCGAAAUAUCAGUUUGGUUUGGCCUACUAGAUUGAUCUUUCUUAGAAUGGGAGAAGUGCUUAGCUUUGGGUUCAAUCUUGCGGUGCUCGAUCCCAGUGACAGUAGGGGAAACGACACGUAUUCUAUUGUUGCAAUUGAGGAUAAAAAGAUGGGGUUUAUAUCAUAUUGUAUGAGUUUAUCCCUCUACAUCACGUCAUCUUGCUUAAAGCGUUACUCUGUUCUUAUGAACUUAAUACUCUAGAUGCAUGUUGGAUAGCGGUCGAUGUGGGGAGUAAUAGUAGUAGAUGCAGGCAUGAGUCAAUAUACUUGUCACGGACGUGAUACCUAUAUACAUGAUCAUACCUAGAUAUUCUCAUAACUAUGCUCAAUUUUAUCAAUUGCUCGAUAGUAAUUUGUUUACCCACCGUAAUAUGUAUGCUAUCUUGAGAGAAGCCACUAAUCAAACCUAUGGCCCCAGGUCUAUCUUCCAUCAUAUUAAUCUCCCGUCAACAAGCUAUUUCUUGCGCCGUUUAUUUUGCUUUCUUUACUUUUAGUCUUUAUCAUAAAAAUACCAAAAAUAUUAUCUUAUCUUCUCUAUCAGAUCUCACUUUUGCAAGUGGCCAUGAAGGGAUUGGCAACCCCUUUAUCACGUUGGUUGCAAGGUUCUUAUUUUUUGUGUAUGUGCAAGGGACUUGAGCGUGGCCUCCUACUGGAUUGAUACCUUGGUUCUCAAAAACUGAGGGAAAUACUUACGCUACUUUGCUGCAUCACCCUUUCCUCUUCAAGGGAAAACCAACACAGUGAUCAAGAGGUAGCAAGAAGGAUUUCUGGCGCCGUUGCCGGGGAGUCUACGCACAAGUCAAGACAUACCAAGUACCCAUCACAAACUCUUAUCCCUCGCAUUACAUUAUUUGCCAUUUGCCUCUCAUUUUCCUCUCCCCCACUUCACCCUUACCAUUUUAUUCGCCCUCUCUUCCGUUCGUCCUUCUAUUUGCUCGUGUUACCAUGUGCCUUCUAUUUGCUUGCAUCUUUGCUUGCUAAAAAUCUAUUGAUAUGGAUCCACUUAAAGUGUUCUACUUGGAUCAUCUUCGAUCCUUAUGCGCUCAUGCUAAAACCCCAACUAGCCUAGUUGAUGGGAAAUCUUUAGAUGAGCAUGCUCAUUUUGUGUGUCAUCGUUUGUCUGAAAAAGGGAGACUCUUAUGGGAUCAAAUAAAUGGAUUGCUAUGUUAUGCUUGGAAUCUUUGUGAAAUUUGUGAUCUUACUUGUUUCUCUAAGAACCCUGAAAAACACCUCCCCUCCCUAUGUGAGUUUAAUGACAAUGAAAUCUUAUCUUCUUAUGCAAAGGGUGUUUAUAGUUACUAUGAUAUCGAACAAAUUAAAGAAUUUGUUGCUUUUAAGGGUGCUUAUGAAGUUGCUUCUUUAAUUGAAAAGUAUGAUGUUACUCUCUACGAAUCUGAAAUUUUUGACAUACUUAAAUAUUGCUAUGAAAACUAUGCUCAUAAUGUCUAUGUCAAAGAAUUUAUUGAAAGAAUGACCGUUGCUUCGGAAGAAAAUAAUGAUAUGCAUGAAUCUAUAGAUAAUUAUGAUUCCUAUGAUUUGAUUGAAAUAUACCUUGAUGAACAUGAUGCUUGCUAUUCUUGUGGCCAUGAUGCCAAUAUUUGUAAAGAUGAGUUUGCUAUAGUUCCUUAUGUUAAACAUGAGAUCGUUGCUAUUGCACCCAUACUUGAUAGUUCCUUCAACAAAAAGCAUGAUUGCAAUGAUGUUAUCAUAAAUUCUCUUAAUGACAAUUGUGUUAAUGAUAUGCAAAACCUCAAGCUUGGGGAUGCUAGUUUUGCUAUGACUACUAUUUGUUGCAAUGAUCAUGAUUGGGGUGAUUCUUCUUUUGAUCUUGAAAAUUUAUUUAAGCCCCAUGAUGAAUAUGAGAUUGAUAAUAAUGUUUGCAAUAAUAUUGAAAGUGGGUUUGGAAGAGUGUCAACUUUAGAUCCCACAUAUUUGGAGAAUGUUCAAUCUUAUGAAGUUUUUGAUAAAGGUGGGUUUGGAGAGGUCAUGACUUUAGUUAAUGUUAAUCCCACUAUUUUGGAAGAGUGUCAACUUUGCAUACAUGUGGAUCGUGUUAAGAAUAUGUUUUGUGAUAACUAUAUUUUGGAAUUUGAUUAUGAUCCUACAUGUAAUUAUUAUGAGAGGGGGAAACAUGGUGGUAGAAAUUUUCAUGUUACUAAAUUACCUCUCGUUAUGUUGAGAUUGCUAGUGUUUCUUUCCGCUUCCUUGCAUAUGCUAGUUUUUGAUUGCCUUGAUAAUUUGUUUGCCUAUAAUAUGCCUAUGCAUAGGAAGUAUGUUAUACUAAGAUGUGUUUUUCAUGUGUUUUAUGAUGCUCUCUUUGUGCUUCAAUUCUUGUCUUUCAUGUGAGCAUCGUUGAAAUCUUAUGCCUAGCUAAAAGGCUUUAAAGAAAAGCGCUUAUUGGGAGAUAACCCAAUAUUUUUCCUUGCUUUUAUUCAUUAAAUAAUUCAUCUAGCCUCUGUUUAGAUGUGUUUUUAUGCUUUUAAUUAGUGUUUGUGCCAAUUAGAACAUUUGGGAAGACUUGGGGAAAGUCUUUGCGAUCUUGCUGUAAAAACAGAAACUUUAGCGGUCACGAGAUUUGCUGCCAUUUUUACUGGAGAGUGUUAUUUAGUUAAUUCUUUUUGAAGAUGAUUAAUAGAUAAAUUACUCACGUCCAGAAAUUUAUUUUAGAAUUUUUGGGGUUCCAGAAGUAUUCGAAACCUACAUAUUACUACAGACUAUUCUGUUUUUGACAGAUUCUGUUUUUCGUGUGUGUUUGCUUAUUUUGAUGAAUCUAUGGCUAGUAAUAGAGUUUAUGGACCAUAGAAAAGUUGGAAUACAGUAGGUUUAACACCAAUAUAAAUAAAUAAUGAGUUCAUUACAGUACCUUGAAGUGGUGGUUUGUUUUCUUUUACUAACGGAGCUCACGAGAUUUUCUUUUAAGUUUUGUGUUGUGAAGUUUUCAAGUUUUGGGUAAAGAUUUGAUGGAUAAUGGAACAAAGAUUGGCAAGAGCCUAAUCUUGGGGAUGCCCAAGGCACCCCAAGGUAAAAUCCAAGGACAACCAAAAGCUUAAGCUUGGGGAUGCCCUGGAAGGCAUCCCCUCUUUUGUCUUCGUUUAUCGGUAACUUUACUUGGGGCUAUAUUUUUAUUCACCACAUGAUAUGUGUUUUGUUUGGAGCGUCUUGUAUGAUUUGAGUCUUUGCUUUUUAGUUUAUCACAAUCAUCCUCGAUGUACACACAUUUUGAGAGAGACACACAUGAUUCGGAAUUUGUUAGAAUACUCGAUGUGCUUCACUUAUAUCUUUUGAGCUAUAUAGUUUUUGCUCUAGUGCUUCACUAAUAUCUUUUAGAGCACGGUGGUGGUUUUCUUUUAUAGAAAUUAUUGAUCUCUCAUGCUUCACUUAUAUUAUUUUGAGAGUCUUAAAUAGCAUGGUAAUUUUCUUUAAUUGUGAAAUCAAUCUGAAGGUGAUAGGCAUCUAAGAUGAGCAUAAUAAAAACUUCCAUAUUGAGUUCAUUGAAUAUCAUGAGAAGUUUGAUACUUGAUACGUGUUUUGAGAUAUAAAGGUGGUAAUAUUAGAGUGUGCUAGUUGAGUAAUUGUGAAAUUGAGAAAUACUUGUGUUAAGAUUGGCAAGUCCCGUAUCAUGCAUGUAUGGUAAAAGUUGUGCGACAAUUUGGACACAUAAGGUGUUCUUUUAUUGCUUUCCUUCUGAGUGGCGGUCGGGGACGAGCGAUGGUAUUUUCUACCAAUCUAUCCCUCUAGGGGCAUGCGUAGUAGUACUUUGCUUCGAGGGCUAAUAAACUUUUGCAAUAAGUAUAUGAGUUCUUUAUUGUGACGUCCCGAUUCAAUCGUACACUAAUCAUACACGCAAACGUGUACGAUCAAGAUCAGGGACUCACGGGAAGACAUCACAACACAACUCUACAAAUAAAAUAAGUCAUACAAGCAUCAUAUUACAAGCCACGGGCCUCGAGGGCUCGAAUAGAAGAGCUCGAUCAUAGACGAGUUAGCGAAAGCAACAAUAUCUGAGUAUACGUAAGUUAAACAAGUUUGCCUUAAGAAGGCUAGCACAAACUGGGAUACAGAUCGAAAGAGGCGCAGGCCUCCUGCCUGGGAUCCUCCUAAACUACUCCUGGUCGCCGUCAGCAGGCUGCACGUUGUAGUAGGCACCUCCUGAGUAGUAGUAGUCGUCGUCGACGGUGGCGUCUGGAAUAAGGCUAUCAUAUGUGAGUACUCAUCCAAAGUACUCGCAAGCAAGGAGCUACACUACAUAUGUAUGCAUUGGUAUCAACUGGAAUAAGGCUAUCAUAUGUGGACUGAACUGCAAAAAGCCGGAAUAAGAGGGGCAUAGCUAGUCCUUUCGAAGACUACGCUUCUGGUAACCUCCAUCUUGCAGCAGGAGAAGAGAGUAGAUGGUAAGUUCACCAAGUAACAUCGCAUAGCAUAAUCCUAACCGAUGAUCCUCCCCUUGUCGCCUUGUGAGAGAGCGAUCACCGGUUGUAUCUGGCACUUGGAAGGGUUUAUUUUAUUAAGUAUCCGGUUCUAGUUGUCAUAAGGUCAAGGUACAACUCCAAGUCGUCCUGUUACCGAAGAUCAUGGCUAUUCGAAUAGAUUAACUUCCCUACAGGGGUGCACCACAUAACCCAACACGCUCCAUCCCAUUUGGCCGGACACACUUUCCUGGGUCAUGCCCGGCCUCGGAAGAUCAACACGUCGCAGCCCUACCUAGGCACAACAGAGAGGUCAGCACGCCAGUCUAAAUCCUAUGGCGCAGGGGUCUGGGCCCAUCGCCCAUUGCACACCUGCACGUUGCGAGGGUGGCCGGAAGCAGAACUAGCCCCCUUAAUACAAGAGCAUGCUUAACUUCCAAUCGGGCAGAGGAGCUGGAGGGGGAAAGUUGCGAGUUUGCUAUGCUAGGGAUGCGUGGCGGACGAACGAGCUGCGUAUCCGGGUUCGUCUCGUCGUUCUGAGCAACUUUCAUGUACAAAGUUUUUCUAUCCGAGCUACGGUUUAAAAGAUAUAAUUUUCUAAAGAUUUUAUUAAUUUCUGGAAUUUAAUUAAUUAUUUAAAUUAAUUCAAAAUUGGAUUUAUGACAUCAGCAUGAUGUCAUGCUGACAACAGCAGUCAACCGGGGUUGACUGGUCAACCUGACCAGUGGGUCCCACUGGUCAGUGACACAUUUUAAUUAAACAUUAUAAUUAACCUAAUUAGUAUUAAUUAGGGGGGUGGGCCCCACUGUCAUUGACUACUUAAUUAACUAAUUAACAGAUCGGGUUAAUUAGGUAACUAAUGUGUAAUUAAUUUAAUUAGUUGUUUAAUUUAAUUAAUCAAAAUUAAUUAAGUUAAUUAUUUCUUCAAUUAAUUAACUAAUUAAUUUUAUUUUUAUUAAAAAAAUUAAUACGUUCUGGGCAUGGACCCCAUCUGUCAUAGGCCCACAGGGAGCCUUAACGGGCGCCGGGUGGUGGUUUACGGGCGUUGGGCAGGCGGGCGUGGGCGCCCGAGCCUGGUCAGGCGCGGCCCAGGUGGCCGGCGACGGCGCGCAGCGAGCGGAGCGAUGGCAGACGAGGGGCCUGGGCGGUCGGCACGUGCCAGCGACGGUCGGCGCGAGGAGGCUGCGGGGCGCGGGCGGAGCGGCGUGCAGCGAUAGAACGGGCGGGGGGGGAGGUGACACAAGGAGCAGGGGUGCGGCCCGGCGGACGCGGCGGCAGGAGCAUGAGAGGAGCGCGGGUAGAGGAGGCCGGACGCGAGGCAGCGGCAUCGCCGAUGAGCAGCAGCAGAGCAGACCACGGAGUACGGGGGCACGACCCCAGGAGGAUGCGGGCGCGGGAUGCGCGCGGUGACCACGGCGGCAAGGGGGCUGCGGGUAGGCAGAGGAGGCGGGUGCGGUGACUAGCAAGGUCGAGCGGGGUGAGCAGCAGCAGUGGGGUGGCGAUGCGGGGGCAGGGCCACGUGUGACUGUGGGUGGCGGAGACAGGGGAAGGAGAGGAGGGCGAGGCGCGUGUGGGCCGGCGGCGAGAUGCGUGCGCGCGGCCGGAGCGCGUGCGGGGCAGCGAGCUGCAGAGGAAGGGGGAAGGGAGAAGGCGGCGGCUCACAUGGGGGUUCAUAGGGUCAGGGGCAGUGGGUGUCGGGGAGGACGUCGGGGACGACCGUGACGAAGAGGAGGCUGGCCGGCGAGGCGGCAGGCGGGCGAUAGUGUCCUGGCGCGGGGGCGGCGAGGUCGUCGCUGCGAGGGCGAGGCGACGGGGUGGUUCGUGCCCGAUCGAGAUCGGAUCGGGGGAGAGAGGAGUGUAGCGAGUGGGGUGGGUGCCGGUUAGGGUUUGGGUGGAGUGGGGGUUAUGGGGAUACGGGGGUGGGCCGGCCUGGUGGGUCGUGGCCCAGUUGGGCCGGUGGCCUGCUGGGCCGGAGCCCCGGGGGGGUUUCUUUUCCUUUUUUGUUUGUUUUUCUCUUUUGUAUUUUCUUUCUUUUAUUUAUUUUCUCUUCUGUGUUAAUCCAAUUUAAAAUAUUUAUGCAUUUUAUAAAACUGUGUCUUCUACACCAUAAUUAUCUAUGUAAUAUUUAGUACAAACCGAACAUUUUAUUUUAAUGUUUGAAAACUUUUAUUAUUUACCAAAUUUUGAAUUUGAAUUUUGGACCGGUUUUGAUCUAACGAUUGAUUAGCAACAGUAACGUAGGUAACAUGGCACCAUUAGCGUGGGAUUACUGUAGCUUAAUUACCCG